AGCGAACGCUGGCGGCAGGCCUAACACAUGCAAGUCGAACGAACCUUUCGGGGUUAGUGGCGGACGGGUGAGUAACACGUGGGAACGUGCCCUUAGGUUCGGAAUAACUCAGGGAAACUUGUGCUAAUACCGAAUGUGCCCUUCGGGGGAAAGAUUAAUCGCCUUUAGAGCGGCCCGCGUCUGAUUAGCUAGUUGGUUGAGGUAAUGGCUCACCAAGGCGACGAUCAGUAGCUGGUCUGAGAGGAUGAUCAGCCACAUUGGGACUGAGACACGGCCCAAAUUCCUACGGGAGGCAGCAGUGGGGAAUCUGGCGCAAUGGGCGAAAGCCUGACGCAGCCAUGCCGCGUGAAUGAUGAAGGUCUUAGGAUUGUAAAAUUCUUUCGCCGGGGACGAUAAUGACGGUACCCGGAGAAGAAGCCCCGGCUAACUUCGUG
rnacentral:rRNA from 1 species